AUAAAAAACCAAUGCCCUUCGGGGCUCUCUGGUGAUUCAUAAUAACUUAACGAAUCGCAUGGCCUUGUGCCGGCGAUGGUUCAUUCAAAUUUCUGCCCUAUCAACUUUCGAUGGUAUGGUCUUGGCUUACCAUGGUUUCAACGGGUAACGGGGAAUUAGGGUUCUAUUCCGGAGAGGGAGCCUGAGAAACGGCUACCACAUCCAAGGAAGGCAGCAGGCGCGCAAAUUACCCAAUCCCGACACGGGGAGGUAGUGACAAUAAAUACUGAUACAGGGCUCUUUUGGGUCUUGUAAUUGGAAUGAGUACAAUUUAAAUCCCUUAACGAGGAACAAUUGGAGGGCAAGUCUGGUGCCAGCAGCCGCGGUAAUUCCAGCUCCAAUAGCGUAUACUAAAGUUGUUGCAGUUAAAAAGCUCGUAGUUGAACCUUGGGCCUGGCUGGCCGGUCCGCCUCACCGCGUGCACUGGUCCGGCCGGGCCUUUCCUUCUGGGGAGCCGCAUGCCCUUCACUGGGUGUGUC
rnacentral:rRNA from 1 species